GCCCGCGUGUGAAGCCGCGCCCGCGUGUGAAGCCGCGCCGCGCGCUUUUGUGUAGCCGAGCCGCGUCUCCCUGUUGCAAGCCGAGCCGCGUCUCCCCCUGUUGCAAGCCGAGCCGCACGCGAAAUCCCUGUACCGAGCCGAGCCGCGUCUGCCCAAGCCGAGCCGGUCCUGUCUUCUUCCAGCCGAGCCGCCAGGACUAAAUUGGCUCCAUCCACCUAUAUUUUGGUAAGCUAAUUAAUUAUUGUGGUUUUUCCGGUAAGACUCCAUGCUCGGACGUUAGUUAAAUUAAUUUGGAUCUAAAUUAUAUUAUUUUCCUCAAGGGACGUCUUGGACCAAGAAAUUACUGCAGCGCGGGAUUUCCUUCAGUAGGGGCUCGAGCACUGCAACCUCCUUCUAGGUUAGGACUUCGUCGCUUGGAAAGCGUACUGCCUCGCGGUUAGGACUCGACAAGUAGAUCUCCAGGUAAGAGAUUCUACUACUAGUUUCAUGUUUGAAGUAUGAGACUGUGUAUGCCCUAUGUUGCAUAUUGAGAGUUUGACAGUAUGAUGCCUGAAAUAAAUGUUAGUAUGAUGCAAAUGACGAUAUAGUUGUGCUAUAGCCUGUUAUGCGUGGCAAGAUUUAUUAUGGUUACGACGAAUGUCGGGACGGAGAGUGUAGAAAUGAUUUAUGUGACAUGUUAUAUGCUGAUGCCAUGUGUAUGUAUACUGCAAAUUAGGGUACCUGUUAGCUUGAUUCUGUUAGAGUCGUACCUGCAUGGGUGUCCUUCGGGAUCACCACCUAUUGAGGACUGUGUGGUCCGACGGGACGCCAGUCUAGCAUGAUAUAGACAUGACUCGAGUGACUCGACGGGGUCCUCGCAUCCCGACUGUCCUAGGUGUCCCCGGGCACCGAAGACCAGAGUUACGUUCCUACGGGAGCGCAUGAUUGCACGUGUUCGGGAACGUGCCAGAGAUUGGGUACCAGUUAUCAGGACUCUAACAGGAAGUUAACAGGCACCUAGUGGGACUAGUAGUGGGUCCCUUACUGAGUAUUUUUAUACUCAUUCUCUCCACUUUAUGUUUUCAGGUAGAGGACGAGGCAAAGGCAAGGGCAAGCUGGCGAGCGACCCGAAGUGAGACCGAGGAGGGCCAUAGGGACUACCGCUUCCGCUUAUUUCUUAUUUCAGAUUUUAGCAUUUGAGUUUGAGUACUUUUUAUUUUUCACUAUCUUUUAUGUAGAUAGGGCCCGAGUAGGAUUUCAGAACGUUUUUACAUUUUUGCAUGACUACCUUGUUUAUGUUUUUAUAAAUGAAUUUCUUGAACCGUAUGCUUUUAAUAAAAUUUUUAGACUUAAACCACUUGUUCUAUAUUUAGUAAUGACUUCGAUUCAGCAUAA